rnacentral:miRNA from 1 species
UAGCCUGCAGUACAGAGGACUGG